UACAGAGGAUGCAAGCGUUAUCCGGAAUGAUUGGGCGUAAAGCGUCCGUAGGUGGCUUUUAAGUCCGCCGUCAAAUCCCAGGGCUCAACUCUGGACAGGCGGUGGAAACUACCAAGCUGGAGUACGGUAGGGCAGAGGGAAUUUCCGGUGGAGCGGUGAAAUGCGUAGAGAUCGGAAAGAACACCAACGGCGAAAGCACUCUGCUGGGCCGACACUGACACUGAGAGACGAAAGCUAGGGGAGCGAAUGGG
rnacentral:rRNA from 1 species